AUUGAACGCUGGCGGAAUGCUUUACACAUGCAAGUCGAACGGUAGAGGGGGGCAACCCCUUGAGAGUGGCGAACGGGUGAGUAAUAUAUCGGAACGUGCCCAGUCGUGGGGGAUAACGUAGCGAAAGUUACGCUAAUACCGCAUACGAUCUAAGGAUGAAAGCGGGGGACUCGCAAGAGCCUCGCGCGAUUGGAGCGGCCGAUAUCAGAUUAGGUAGUUGGUGGGGUAAAGGCUCACCAAGCCAACGAUCUGUAGCUGGUCUGAGAGGACGACCAGCCACACUGGAACUGAGACACGGUCCAGACUCCUACGGAGGCAGCAGUGGGAAUUUUGGACAAUGGACGCAAGUCUGAUCCAGCAUCCGCGUGCAGGAUGAAGGCC
rnacentral:rRNA from 1 species